GACGAACGCUGGCGGCGUGCUUAACACAUGCAAGUCGAACGGUAAGGCCCUUCGGGGUACACGAGUGGCGAACGGGUGAGUAACACGUGGGUGAUCUGCCCUGCACUUCGGGAUAAGCCUGGGAAACUGGGUCUAAUACCGGAUAGGACUACUGGCUUCAUGGUUGGGGGUGGAAAGCUUUUGCGGUGUGGGAUGGGCCCGCGGCCUAUCAGCUUGCUGGUGGGGUAAUGGCCUACCAAGGCGACGACGGGUAGCCGGCCGGAGAGGGUGACCGGUCACACUGGGACUGAGAUACGGCCCAGACUCCUACGGGAGGCAGCAGUGGGGAAUAUUGCACAAUGGGCGCAAGCCUGAUGCAGCGACGCCGCGUGAGGGAUGACGGCCUUCGGGUUGUAAACCUCUUUCAGCUAUGACGAAGCGCAAGUGACGGUAGUAGCAGAAGAAGGACCGGCCAACUACGUGCCAGCCGCCGCAGUAA
rnacentral:rRNA from 1 species